UGGGGAAUAUUGCACAAUGGACGGAAGUUUGAUGCAGCGACGCCGCGUGGAGGGUGUAGGCCUUCGGGUUGUGAACUCCUUUUUCUCGCGAAAAAGGCACAGUUUUGGCUGUGUUGAUGGUAGUGGGGGAAGAAGCGCCGGCUAACUACGUGCCAGCAGCCGCGGUAAUACGUAGGGCGCGAGCGUUGUCCGGAUUUAUUGGGCGUAAAGAGCUCGUAGGUGGUUCGUCGCGUCUGUCGUGAAAGCCAGCAGCUUAACUGUUGGUCUGCGGUGGGUACGGGCGGGGUUGAGUGCGGUAGGGGUGACUGGAAUUCCUGGUGUAGCGGUGGAAUGCGCAGAUAUCAGGAGGAACACCGAUGGCGAAGGCAGGUCACUGGGCCGUUACUGACACUGAGGGGCGAAAGCGUGGGGAGCGAACAGG
rnacentral:rRNA from 1 species